ensembl:lncRNA
UUUCCACACAGAUCUAGCUGAUUGCUUGAUUGGUCCCGCUUGGCAGGAAAAUGGCCUGUUGAAGUGUGUGAGAAGCAGGUGCAGGACUUGGCCCCAGCAGCCCCAGCCUGUGGCCACGGCACGGAAUAAUAGCAGCAGUGUUUCUACACAGUGGAGCGCUGUCACAACCAGCCACUUGCAAAAAUACGACACGUUUUUCAUAGACGUGUGCGCCGGGAAGGAGAAGCUCAAAGAUGAGAACGGGUUUCCUUUUGAGUCUGGUUCCUCUCAAGGUUUCUCCCUCAUGCUGUCUCAUGGAGUGUUUGCUUGCCACUGUCACCUCUGGUACUUCAAAAAUCAUGCAUAGAUAGCAGCCAUAAGAACAGGACAAAACUGUGACAAAUGGCUUUGAAAAGCAGUUCUGACACAGUUGGGAAAGCCCUAAAACCUCCAAGCUAUAAAGGCCUAUGUAAGUCACAUGAAGGAGAAUAAUUUUUGAAUGGAUGGAGGACAGUCAUGAGUCAGUGUCCAUGAAUGAACAAUCUGAACAAUAAUAAUAAUAAUAACAUUGGGAGAGAUUUAGAAACGCCUUUAACAGCUGAGGUAGACAACAUUGGAAAUGCCUUCUGAAAAAUUUUUUGAACAUGCUUUUUGCCUUGUGUGGGUGUGUGUG